ACGGGGGGUGCAAGCGUUGCUCGGAAUCACUGGGCGUAAAGGGCGUGUAGGCGGCUAAAUAAGUCAGAUGUGAAAUCCUAUAGCUUAACCCUGGAACUGCAUUUGAAACUGUUUGGCUUGAGUAGGGGAGAGGAAAGUGGAAUUCCUGGUGUAGAGGUGAAAUUCGUAGAUAUCAGGAGGAACACCGGUGGCGAAGGCGACUUUCUGGCCCUAUACUGACGCUGAGACGCGAAAGCGUGGGUAGCAAACAG
rnacentral:rRNA from 1 species